rnacentral:rRNA from 1 species
AACGUAGGUGGCAAGCGUUGUCCGGAUUUACUGGGCGUAAAGAGCGCGCAGGCGGUCGUUCAAGUCGCGUGUGAAAGCCCCCGGCUCAACUGGGGAGGGUCACGCGAUACUGAUCGACUCGAAGGCAGGAGAGGGAAGUGGAAUUCCCGGUGUAGUGGUGAAAUGCGUAGAUAUCGGGAGGAACACCAGUGGCGAAGGCGACUUCCUGGCCUGUUCUUGACGCUGAGGCGCGAAAGCUAGGGGAGCAAACGGG